rnacentral:rRNA from 1 species
AACGAACGCUGGCGGCAUGCCUAACACAUGCAAGUCGAACGAGACCUUCGGGUCUAGUGGCGCACGGGUGCGUAACGCGUGGGAACCUGCCCUUAGGUUCGGAAUAACUCCCCGAAAGGGGUGCUAAUACCGGAUAAUGUCUUCGGACCAAAGAUUUAUCGCCUUUGGAUGGGCCCGCGUUGGAUUAGCUAGUUGGUAGGGUAAAAGCCUACCAAGGCGACGAUCCAUAGCUGGUCUGAGAGGAUGAUCAGCCACACUGGGACUGAGACACGGCCCAGACUCCUACGGGAGGCAGCAGUGGGGGAUAUUGGACAAUGGGCGGAAGCAUGAUCCAGCAAUGCCGCGUGAGUGAUGAAGGCCUUAGGGUUGCAAAGCUCUUUUACCCGGGAUGAUAAUGACAGUACCGGGAGAAUAAGCUCCGGCUAACUCCGUG